rnacentral:misc_RNA from 1 species
GCACUUUAGUCAUAGAAUUCCUGGUCCUAUUUCAGAAAACCUACUAAUUUCAGUUUCAAUUUUCCUGUUGGCUUAGGUGUUUGGACUGAAAACCAGUCCCGUGGAAUUAGGGAGAUGAGAGUAGGAAAAGAAGAAAAAUAGAGAGAAGAAUUGAGGGAGAAUAGUAGUGAAUUUUCUAUUAAUCAAUUAAUGAAUUCCCUCUUUACGAUUGUAUCUCUAUAUUUUGUAAUUUGUUAUAUAACAAACCAUAUCUAACUACUGCUAGCUAUGCCUGGGGAUUCUGAAAAGCAUGAAAAAACUCAAAGAAAUUAUAAAAAAGGUAUAACAGCCUCAAAAGGCAUAACUAACUUAGGAUAAGCCACUCAGCAACCUUCCCCUUUCUUUUAUACAUAAUAAUUCCCCCUCCUUGAUUGCAAUCUUGUCCCUAGGAAUGUAUAAAGUCUUGGAAUUGAGCCUGG